UUUAAUACUUAAAAGCAUUUUCUAGGUGUUGUUGCAGAAGUGAGGGGAGCCAAGUUUGAUAAGGUAAUUUUGGUAAUAGAAAGGUAUUAGCCUCAGAAGCUAGUGAGGUGGUCCAUUCUAUGGUAGCAUAGUG